UACGGGGGGAGCAAGCGUUGUUCGGAUUUACUGGGCGUAAAGGGCGCGUAGGCGGUCAGCACAAGUCAGUUGUGAAAUCUCCGGGCUUAACUCGGAACGGUCAGCUGAUACUGCUUUGCUAGAGUGCAGAAGGGGCAAUCGGAAUUCUUGGUGUAGCGGUGGAAAUGACGUAGAUAUCAAGAGGAACACCUGAGGUGAAGACGGGUUGCUGGGCUGACACUGACGCUGAGGCGCGAAAGCUAGGGUAGCAAACGGG
rnacentral:rRNA from 1 species